UACGGAGGGUGCAAGCGUUAUCCGGAUUCACUGGGUUUAAAGGGUGCGUAGGUGGCUUUGUAAGUCAGUGGUGAAAUCUUAGAGCUUAACUCUAAAACUGCCAUUGAUACUGCUUAGCUUGAAUCAAGUAGAGGUGGAUGGAAUAUUACAUGUAGCGGUGAAAUGCUUAGAUAUGUAAUAGAACACCGAUUGCGAAGGCAGACCACUAUGCUUGUAUUGACACUGAGGCACGAAAGCGUGGGGAUCAAACAGG
rnacentral:rRNA from 1 species